UCGGCAUGUUGAUGUUACAUUUCAAGUGUAGUUGUUAUGAUGAUACCAAUGAUGUAUUCCUAAAUGUGUAUCAUGGUUAAAUGAAUGGGGAUGCAUGAUAAUUAUCUAAUUGGGCUUUAAUAAGGGUUGUGUAGCUGAGUAGUGAAAGUGGAGGACUUGAGGGACCAAAUCGUGGUUGCUGAUGCGGUAUAUGACUGGGUGGUUCGAGUCCUCCUUAUUAUUAUCAUAUGAUUGGGAGGUUCGAGUCCCCUAUAUUAUACUACAUGAUUGAGUGCUUGCAUCACCUUGAUAUGUCGAGAGGUUUAAGUCCCCCAUAGUGCACAUGUAUACUCUCUGGUUCGUGCGACCACACGCACUGGGGCUUACCAUUUUGGAGAGGGAUGGGCCCAUAUAGCCCGUGGGUGCCUUCUUAUGUUAUGACGGUUGAGAUACACAAUCUAGGCUAAGUUUUAAAGUGCAUGUUAAUCCUUGUUCCUUACCCCGGCUAUGUUAUCCUUAUUCCCGAGUGACAUUAUAGUGCUCAAUGCACUAACCGUCUCCAAAUGUUGAAUCCCCAUGUGAUGCUGGCACCGAAGAUACUUCUACCUUUCUUGCGCAGAGUUAGGUGGAUCGUCUAGUUUUGUUGGUUCAUUGUGGUGGAUCGGCUCGUUUUUUUGGUUCAUUGUUGUGAAGUGGUGAGCCUCCACUCUUCGAAAGGCUUAGGAAUUUCAUCAGUUCUAAUCCUAGAGUAGAAUUGACAUCUUUCAUUAUCAUUAACAUUAUCAUUGUCAGAGUCGGGGAUAUGUCCCAACCGAGACAGGUUUUUGAUUCUUUUGUUAGAAGGCUUUGUUGGAUUACUGUGGACUUGGGUGAUGUUCGUAGGUUUUUUUGCUGGUUAUCGAUUUAUGGUUAUAGAAACGAUUUAAAUAUCAUUAAGCUUAUUCUUAUGCUAUCUAUUAUAUAUUUGAAAUUCAUCCGACGUUGGGGAUGUUGUGUUCACUUGUUAGGUGCAGGGGCUGUCUCUGGUCCAUAUGGGACUUUAGAUACCUGUCAGGCCAGGACCUAGUUCGUGCCGUGACAAGUUUUCAUGCAUGUUGUUAUAACCUUCCUAUUUUUAUUUUUCUGAAACUCCAUGGAUGUAUCAACCUGCAAAGGUUCACGAUAGGUAACCAAUGCUAAAUCAUGAUUGUUAUCAUCCAAUCCUUGAUGUACCAGAUUAGUGUUUUCGGUAUUACUAAACUGUACCAGCUGAUUGCCCAUGACUGAGUUGAUUGUCACAGGAACAUGAGCAUCUUCCCCUUUCACCUUGCACCCAUUCUUCUCUGCUACAAAAUUAUUAACAAUGAGUGUUUCAUCAAUAACUUCCUCAAUAGUAUUUGCCGUUAUUUCAUUAAUUGGAUUAAUCCUUUGAGAAUUUCUCUGUUCAUCCAAUUUGUUUGCAUCAAAGAUUGGUACGACAUAAUUAACACCAGUAAUUUCCAUAUCCCUAACACCCUCGGUACUAUUUUCUAUUGCUUUAUUAGCUGUUGAGAUCAUUGCAACAGAUCUCAAAUCAUUUAAGAAGGUCUUUAUUAAGAUUCAGAACUGAAUGAUUUAAUGCUUUAUCAAUGCUUCUUUUCUUAUAGAUUUUACAAUCAUUUGUUUGUGAAUUUGCAGAUCCUGCUUUCAUAUCCUUCCUAGUGAUUAUAUAAUUCUCCUUUUGAUGCUUUUAACCUUGACCAGUCAUGUUACAUUUCAUUUCCUUUGCAGUUUCUUCCUAAGGUCCUCUAAAUCUGGCCAACCAUAAGAGAAUUUCACAAUAACUGCAAGUUGAAUAUUUUCAAUUAUGUUCAUCUUUCGCACGAGCCGGGGGUCUAUCGGAAACAACCUCUCUACUUCUUCGGAGGUAGUGGUAUGGACUGCGUACAUGUUACCCUCCCCAGACCUCAUUUUGUGGGAAUACACUGGGCCUGUUGUUGUUGUUGUUGUUGUUGUAUGUUCAUCUUUCGCACUUAAUCACCUCUCCAUGAAAUCCAAGGAAUUCCGUCUUUGUAGUUAAUAGAUUCUAUAGUUGUUGAAACAUUAUUAUUGAUCAGGUGAGAUUUCGAUUUGGGCCUUAACAAAUCAAAAAAAUUGAGUUGCUUGCCA